rnacentral:rRNA from 1 species
AUACGUAGGGGGCGAGCGUUGUCCGGAAUGAUUGGGCGUAAAGGGCGCGUAGGCGGCGCGGUAAGUCUGGAGUGAAAGUCCUGCUUUCAAGGUGGGAAUUGCUUUGGAUACUGCCGCGCUUGAGUGCAGGAGAGGUUAUCGGAAUUCCCGGUGUAGCGGUGAAAGGCGUAGAGAUCGGGAGGAACACCAGUGGCGAAGGCGGGUAACUGGACUGCAACUGACGCUGAGGCGCGAAAGUGUGGGGAGCAAACAGGAUUAGAUACCCUGGUAGUCCACACUGUAAACGAUGAAUGCUAGGUGUAAGAGGUAUCGACCCCUUUUGUGCCGGAGUCAACACAAUAAGCAUUCCGCCUGGGGAGUACGGCCGCAAGGUUGAAACUCAAAUGAAUUGACGGGG